UUAUGUAGCUUUUCAUAUAAGUAUUUAUUUAUUAGGGGAUGAGUGACCGCGAAAGGUUUUUUCAUGAGAGUUCAACGGUUGGUUUUUUAAGAGGGCAACAGUGAUGUUAAGAAAGAAAAUAAAAAAACAACAUAAUGGUUCAAAGUUAACUUUAAAAGAUCUCUACGAGAACUUUUAGCAAUUCAGUUCCAUUUUGAACCCUUUUCUAUCAAGGAAGGAAGGAAGAUAUCCACAUAAAAAGUCAAGUCACUAAACUUUUCUAACAACAAAAUGAUGAAACAGGCUCUUCCACUACUUUUUCUAUUCAUAUGUGGAUCUCUAGUCACUUCUCGCCCACAGGAAGGGAGUACAUUUUUUGAUUCCAAUCCGGAGUAUCAGUUCGAGUAUCAAGUCUCUAGUAAUUUAGCAAAGACAUAUAUGAGUCAUAGAGAAACACGAAAUGGAGACUUUGUCAAUGGCGAAUAUACCUAUGUAGACCCCAAUGGAUCCCUUGUUAUCGUUUCAUAUGAGGCAGGUCCUAAAGGAUAUAGAGCAACCAAAAAAAUUGAAAGGGGAUUUUUAGCUAGAAAAAGAAGUCGUUCAUCUGUUUGAAGGCAAAGGACUCCUCCCCUAUCUCCGAGGUUCUUCGUAAAAUACCUGAAAUUAUUCCUCAUCAUACAAUCAUGAAACCAUGUUAUUCGAUAAUGUUUGACUGUUUGUUUGUUUUUUUUAAAUUUUGUUUUUCUUGCAAUUAAUAAUUGUUCAUUAUCUGAA
rnacentral:lncRNA from 1 species